GACGAACGCUGGCGGCGUGCUUAACACAUGCAAGUCGAACGGAAAGGCCCUGAUUUUGUGGGGUGCUCGAGUGGCGAACGGGGGAGUAACACGUGAGUAACCUGCCCUUGACUUUGGGAUAACUUCAGGAAACUGGGGCUAAUACAGGAUAGGAGCUGCUGCUGCAUGGUGGGGGUUGGAAAGUUUCGGCGGUUGGGGAUGGACUCGCGGCUUAUCAGCUUGUUGGUGGGGUAGUGGCUUACCAAGGCAUUGACGGGUAGCCGGCCUGAGAGGGUGACCGGCCACAUUGGGACUUAGGUGCGGCCCAGACUCCUACGGUUGGCAGCAGUGGGGAAUAUUGCACCAUGGGCGGAGGCCUGAUGCAGCAACGCCGCGUGCUGGAUGACGGCCUUCUGGUUGUAAACCGCUUUCGCCUGUGACGAAGCGUGAGUUACGGUAAUGGGUAAAGAAGCACCGGCUAACUACGUU
rnacentral:rRNA from 1 species